UGGGGUGUCGCCAAGUGGUAAGGCAGCGGACUUUGACUCCGUUAUUCGCAGGUUCGAAUCCUUCCACCCCAG
rnacentral:tRNA from 1 species